UAAUGCAAGGUCUUCCAUCGCUGCGGUGCG
rnacentral:sRNA from 1 species